UACGUAGGGGGCAAGCGUUGUCCGGAAUUAUUGGGCGUAAAGCGCGCGCAGGCGGUUUAUUAAGUUCGGUGUUUAAGCCCAGGGCUCAACCCUGGUUCGCACUGGAAACUGGUAGACUAGAGUGUAGGAGAGGAAAGUGGAAUUCCACGUGUAGCGGUGAAAUGCGUAGAGAUGUGGAGGAACACCGGUGGCGAAGGCGGCAUCCUGGACCAAUACUGACACUGAGGAGCGAAAGCCAGGGGAGCAAACGGG
rnacentral:rRNA from 1 species